GAUGAACGCUGGCGGCGUGCUUAAUACAUGUAAGUCGGACGGAGCGUUAGCAAUAGCGCUUAGUGGCGAACGGGUGAGUAACACGUUGGUGACCUGCCCCGAAGCGGGGGAUAACAGAUCGAAAGGACUGCUAAUACCGCAUGACAACCUGGCGAUUAGAAGGACAAGUUGAAAGCAGCGAUGCGCUGUGGGAGGGACCUGCGGCCCAUCAGCUAGUUGGUAAGGUAGUGGCUUACCAAGGCGACGACGGGUAGGGGGCCUGAGAGGGUGAUCCCCCACACUGGCACUGAAACACGGGCCAGACACCUACGGGUGGCAGCAGUAGGGAAUAUUGCACAAUGGGCGAAAGCCUGAUGCAGCAACGCCGCGUGCACGAUGAAGGCCUUCGGGUUGUAAAGUGCUUUUCUGCAGGACGAGGAAGGACGGUACUGUAGGAAUAAGGAUCGGCUAACUACGUGCCAGCCGCCGCCGUAAUAC
rnacentral:rRNA from 1 species